GAUGAACGCUGGCGGCGUGCCUAACACAUGCAAGUCGAACGGAAAGGCCCGGCUUUUGCGCGGUUGUCGAGUGGCGAACGGGUGAGUAACACGUGAGUAACCUGCCCUUGACUGUGGGAUAACUUCAGGAAACUGGGGCUAUUACCGGAUAGGAGCUCGUGCUGCAUGGUGGGGGUUGGAGAGCUUCGGCGGUGGGGGUUGGACUCGCGGCUUAUCAGCUUGUUGGUGGAGUAGGAGCUUACCAAGGCUUAGGCGGAUAGGCGGCAUGAGAGGGUGACCGGCCACAAUGGGACUACGGUACGCACCAGUCGCGAACGGGAGGCAACGGGGGAAAGUCUGACCCAGUAAGGGGGCGCGUGAGACAAAGGCCCCGCGUUCGUAAAGACCGCCUUCGGGUUAAGAACCGCUUUCGCCUGUGACAAAGCGGGAGUGACGGUAAUGGAUAAAGAAGCACCGGCUAACUACGUG
rnacentral:rRNA from 1 species